rnacentral:rRNA from 1 species
CUUCUUGUUUUUAAAGACCUAGCAAUAGGUAUGCUUAGGUAGGAGCUUGCGUCACAUUAGUUAGUUGGUGGGGUAAAGGCCUACCAAGACUAUGAUGUGUAGCCGGGCUGAGAGGUUGAACGGCCACAUUGGGACUGAGACACGGCCCAAACUCCUACGGGAGGCAGCAGUAGGGAAUUUUCGGCAAUGGAGGAAACUCUGACCGAGCAACGCCGCGUGAACGAUGAAGUAUUUCGGUACGUAAAGUUCUUUUAUUAGGGAAGAAUAAAUGAUGGAAAAAUCAUUCUGACGGUACCUAAUGAAUAAGCCCCGGCUAACUAUGUGCCAGCAGCCGCGGUAAUACAUAGGGGGCAAGCGUUAUCCGGAAUUAUUGGGCGUAAAGGGUGCGUAGGCGGUUAAAUAAGUUUGUGGUCUAAGUGCAAUGCUCAACAUUGUGAUGCUAUAAAAACUGUUUAGCUAGAGUAAGAUAGAGGCAAGUGGAAUUCCAUGUGUAGUGGUAAAAUGCGUAAAUAUGUGGAGGAACACCAGUAGCGAAGGCGGCUUGCUGGGUCUUUACUGACGCUGAGGCACGAAAGCGUGGGGAGCAAACAGGAUUAGAUACCCUGGUAGUCCACGCCGUAAACGAUGAGUACUAAACGUUGGGUAAAACCAGUGUUGAAGUUAACACAUUAAGUACUCCGCCUGAGUAGUACGUACGCAAGUAUGAAACUUAAAGGAAUUGACGGGACUCCGCACAAGCGGUGGAUCAUGUUGUUUAAUUCGAAGGUACCCGAAAAACCUCACCAGGUCUUGACAUGCUUCUGCAAAGCUGUAGAAACACAGUGGAGGUUAUCAGUUGCACAGGUGGUGCAUGGUUGUCGUCAGCUCGUGUCGUGAGAUGUUGGGUUAAGUCCCGCAACGAGCGCAACCCUUAUUGUUAGUUACCAGCACGUAAUGGUGGGGACUUUAGCAAGACUGCCAGUGAUAAAUUGGAGGAAGGUGGGGACGACGUCAAAUCAUCAUGCCCCUUAUGACCUGGGCUACAAACGUGAUACAAUGGCUGUUACAAAGGGUAGCUGAAGCGCAAGUUUUUGGCGAAUCUCAAAAAAACAGUCUCAGUUCGGAUUGAAGUCUGCAACUCGACUUCAUGAAGUUGGAAUCGCUAGUAAUCGCGAAUCAGC